AUCUGUUACUCGCUUGUCGUUGUGCGCAGAGGACGAACAAACUAACGAUUAUAUCUUUAUAUGAUGUUGUAACAGAAGUUGUGUCAUCAUUACCAGAUAUUGUUAAUAUGACGGAGGAUAUAAAAACAAAUUUUCCUACUUUGAAGAAUCCUUUCCCAGAUGUCACAGUAAAGUGGCUCGACCCAUUGAACGAAAUUUAUUGGAUGGGAGGAGUUAUAAGCAUAGCAUUUGUUACGUGUUGUAUUUUAUUAUGUUAUUGCUGGUGUAUUUUUUUUUCUUCUGGAAGACGAGUCGCUGCUAUCAUCAGAAGUUAUUGUGAUAGAAUUCAAUUUUUUCCCUGUCAAGGAUGCUGCAAUAUUUUGCGUCAGGAACAACUAGAAAUGAGAGCUGUACCAUAAGCGAAUCAAAGAAAAUGUGAUAAAUCAAGGAUAUACAUAUUUUUAUACACAAAGUGAAUUGCAAUCUUCUCAAAUUUUACAAAGGAAAUAAAAGUUAUAUAACUUAAAUCUCAUGCUAUGGGACAAUUACGGAUCAUUAUAUGCAUAAUUUUAAUCAUUGAUGUAAUAACAAAAAAUAUGAUGUCAGUAUUAACGAAUGAUACAAAUCAAGAAGACGAGAUCAGUGUAGCAAAAAUUUUGCACUUUGACACAGAUAACAUCAAUGGCAUGAUUUUCGUAUUACUUCUUAACAUUUACAUGUUACUCUUUAUAAUGUUAUUAUUUUGUAUUUGCAAAACAUAUUUUUUUAUACGAAGACUCUACACUCCGCUCAGACGCCUAUGGUACCAUUUUAUUUCUUGGUUUUUUCGUGUUUUUCUUCGUAAUGAUAUAUUUGAAAUACCUGUUAGAGUAGUACCAAACGAAAUGGAUCUUGUCUAUAUUAAUCCAGAACUAGAAGAAACUAGUACACACAUGUAAUACAUAACUAUAUGCCUAAUGGGUCUCAGGACGAUGAUUAAUUAUGACCAUAUUACUAUUAUAAAUUGUUUCAAAUCCGUAAUGACCAGUAAAUGCUGUAAUAACCAAUUAAUCGAAAACAAUUUUAUA